CGCGGCCUAUCAGCUUGUUGGUGGGGUAACGGCCCACCAAGGCAACGACGGGUAGCCGGCCUGAGAGGGCGACCGGCCACACUGGGACUGAGACACGGCCCAGACUCCUACGGGAGGCAGCAGUGGGGAAUAUUGCGCAAUGGGCGAAAGCCUGACGCAGCAACGCCGCGUGAGGGACGACGGCCUUCGGGUUGUAAACCUCUUUCAGCAGUGACGAAGCGAGAGUGACGGUAGCUGCAGAAGAAGGACCGGCCAACUACGUGCCAGCAGCCGCGGUAAUACGUAGGGUCCAAGCGUUGUCCGGAAUUAUUGGGCGUAAAGAGCUCGUAGGCGGUCUGUCGCGUCGGCUGUGCAAACCCGGGGCUCAACUCCGGGCCUGCAGUCGAUACGGGCAGACUAGAGUGCGGCAGGGGAGACUGGAAUUCCUGGUGUAGCGGUGAAAUGCGCAGAUAUCAGGAGGAACACCGGUGGCGAAGGCGGGUCUCUGGGCCGUAACUGACGCUGAGGAGCGAAAGCGUGGGAGCAAACAGGAUUAGAUACCCUGGUAGUCCACGCCGUAAACGGUGGGCGCUAGGUGUGGGGCGUUGUUUACACGUUCCGCGCCGCAGCUAACGCAUUAAGCGCCCCGCCUGGGGAGUACGG
rnacentral:rRNA from 1 species